CACAAUGAGAUGGACCGGGCCGUCCGAGGUAUUUCUGUCUGUUUUCCACAUGUAGCGGAUGAGUGAUUGAGCGGCGCCUCAGUCAUAGCUGGACUCCUGCCCUAAACCCUCCAGGCUGCUGCAAGCUCCUCCGUGAGCUGCUUGUCUGCCUCGCUUUACUCCGACCUGAACUCAACAGCGCCCACGACACAGCUUGGCCUUUAACCUUUCACUGUGGAGUAGUGUCCUCAGAGCCCCGCCCAGUGCCACGCCUUCCUCCAUUGACACAGCUGUAUCUUAUCGUCCCAUUAAACCAGCUGACAUAAAUAGUCCGUCUUUUCUCGCCUCAGCUGUCAGUCCGGCCGUUAGGCCACCCUGCGUCGAACCUCGGUGAUUCACAUGGCCGAAGAGGUAGCCAGUUAGUUCCGCGGAGAUCAGCUGAGCACCUACAAACUCCUGCGUUGAGCCUCGGGCGUCACGCAGUGGAGGUCCUCUGCCUGUCACUCACCAUUGACUUGUGUUUUUGUGUUGCCUUUGUUUUUUCUCUGCCGGAGAAAAUAAAUAACCCCUGUUGAAGAAAGAAACCUUGGUGGUCCUGCGUGUUGCAUCUGGGUCCGUUUGCACUUCCUAACAGAACGGACUGACCAAAAAUAAUGGAUCCAGUAGCCGCUAUAGGAUCUCCCCCGGCUGACCCCGUGCAGAAGACGAUCAUCAACCAAGGCAUUCUUUUGGGACAACAUCAUCUGCUGCAUGAUCUACGAGGCUCACAACAAACCAUGGGAUCGCAGAUGGCCGAGAUCAGCAGCAUGGUGCAGGGACUCGCUCCGGCCCGCCCCUCCUCCCAAGAACCAACGGCGGAGUCUUUUGUUCCGUUUCCUGAACCUUUCCAUGGAGACAUGAAGGGAUGCCGAGGUUUCCUUCUCCAGGCCACGUUUGUGUUUAAUCAGCGGCCCUGCGAGUAUGCAUCGGACAAAUCUAGGAUUGCCUCUCUGACCGGAUUGUUACGUGGGCGGGCCCUUGACUGGGCCCAGGCCUGGUUUAAUCAGAACCCGCCGGAUACAGUUUCGUUUGGACAAUUCUAGGAGGCAUUUAAGAGAGCUUUUGACCACCCUAUGCACACUCAGCAUGCUGUGCAGCGCCUACUUCGCUCCAGGGCUCCACCAGCGCUGCCGAACAUUCAAUAGACUUUCGCAUGUUGGCCGCAGAGUGUGGUUGGGAGGAGAGAGCGCUGAGAGGGGUUUACCUAAACAGCCUGGCAGAUGGAUUAAAGGACCAGCUAGCCAUUCUGGGAGAGGCUCAGACACUCGAGGACCUCAUUGCCCUUACCAUCCGUCUGGAUGCUCGGAUGCGUGAGUGUCGGAGAGAACGGAGCUACAGGGUUCCAGGACCAGUCCAUCAGCGGAACGCAAAGCCAUGGAGACCUACAUUACCGACUCCCUCGCUGCAGAGAUUAUCCGUCCGUCAUCCUCCCCGGUGGGAGCGGGGUUCUUCUUUGUGGCCAAGAAGGACAAGAGUCUCCGCCCGUGUACAGACUACCGAGGGCUGAACCAAACACAACACGGAACAGGUACCAACUACCACUGCUGACCU
ensembl:lncRNA